CCUAGGGGAGAGGAGGCGUCAACUCGUCCGCGGCAGUCGUCCGUGCUGAGCGUAAAACGCUUCAUUGGGCAUGCGACGAGUGAACGCCCACCCCCACACAACUUUCUGCAUCCCGGGGCACAGCCAGGUUCCGUAUCCCAGGCCAACGGUGCUGCACCGUGGUUGGAAGACGGACCAGGCUACGUAGGUCCACCCAGCACCCGUGAGGAUGCCGGACGGAGGAGGAAGUU
rnacentral:misc_RNA from 1 species